GGGGCGCGCUCGGGGAGACGGCUGGAGCUGCGCCGGUGGCGGCUCGGCGCAAGCUCGCCGGCCCGGCCUCCGCCGCCCGCUGACUCGCAUCCCCGCUUCCCUCCCGCCGCGUCCGCGCUCGAAGAUGGCAACCGACGGGCUCCACGAGAACGAGACGCUGGCGUCGCUCAAGAGCGAGGCCGAGAGCCUCAAGGGCAAACUGGAGGAGGAGCGGGCCAAGCUGCACGACGUGGAGCUGCACCAGGUGGCCGAGCGUGUGGAGGCCCUGGGGCAGUUUGUCAUGAAGACCAGAAGGACCCUCAAAGGCCACGGGAACAAGGUUCUGUGCAUGGACUGGUGCAAGGAUAAGAGGAGGAUCGUGAGCUCCUCGCAGGAUGGGAAGGUGAUCGUGUGGGAUUCCUUCACUACUAACAAGGAGCACGCGGUCACAAUGCCCUGCACGUGGGUGAUGGCAUGUGCGUAUGCCCCAUCGGGAUGUGCCAUUGCAUGCGGUGGUUUGGAUAAUAAGUGUUCUGUGUAUCCACUGACGUUUGACAAAAAUGAAAACAUGGCUGCCAAAAAGAAGUCUGUUGCUAUGCACACCAACUACCUGUCGGCCUGCAGCUUUACCAACUCUGACAUGCAGAUCCUGACAGCGAGUGGCGAUGGCACGUGUGCCCUGUGGGACGUGGAGAGCGGGCAGCUGCUGCAGAGCUUCCAUGGGCACGGGGCCGACGUGCUCUCCUUGGACCUGGCUCCCUCAGAAACCGGGAACACCUUCGUGUCUGGGGGAUGUGACAAGAAAGCCAUGGUGUGGGACAUGCGCUCCGGACAGUGCGUGCAGGCCUUUGAAACACACGAAUCUGACAUCAACAGCGUCCGAUACUACCCGAGCGGAGAUGCCUUUGCUUCGGGAUCAGAUGAUGCUACGUGUCGUCUCUACGACCUCCGGGCAGACAGGGAGGUUGCCAUCUAUUCCAAAGAGAGUAUCAUCUUUGGAGCUUCCAGCGUGGACUUCUCCCUCAGUGGUCGCCUGCUGUUUGCUGGAUACAACGAUUAUACCAUCAACGUCUGGGAUGUCCUCAAGGGAUCCCGAGUCUCCAUCUUGUUUGGACAUGAAAACCGUGUUAGUACUCUACGAGUUUCCCCUGAUGGGACUGCCUUUUGCUCAGGAUCAUGGGAUCAUACCCUCAGAGUCUGGGCUUAAUCAUAAUGCACAUAUAGGUACCUGAGAAUAGAAUUUGAAAUCGUCACAUGUAAAUAGAUCUUGCUUCUAGAGGAUCUGAGAGUUUAUUGCAACUUAGCUUAAGGGAGCAGCUCCAUGACUGAAUGUUCAGCAAGCAUCUCCAAUAUUACUGUUAAAACCACCACCCUGGAAAGAUCCCAGAAUGAGCCUUCAGCACUAUGAGAACACCUUCAAGUACAGUGUUUUUCAUUUCAAACACUUUUUAAAAUGUAUCUUUUUUUUUUUUUUUUUUUGCGGUACGUGGGCCUCUCACUGUUGUGGCCUCUCCCAUUGCCGAGCACAGGUUCUGGAUGCGCAGGCUCAGUGGCCAUGGCUCACGGGCCCAGCCACUCCGUGGCACGUGGGAUUUUCCCGGACCAGGACACGAACCCGCACCCCCUGCAUCGACAGGCGGACUCUCAACCACUGCGCCACCAGGGAAGCCCAAAAUGUAUCUGUUUUUAAGGUUAUUCUAAACUGUCGUCUCAACUCAUUCUAUCCCCAGUACAGUUCAGCAUAUAAUAUAUUCCAUAUUGUUUCCUUGAAUCAAAUUUAUUUUUCGGAGCACUUUAAAAGCUGAUUUUUCUCAGUGUACACUGUGACUUUUGGAACUUUCCCCUGCAAGUGCUGACUUUAAUGGACUGUGUGAGAAGGACAGUGUUAAUUGGUCUUUGAUAGAAGAAAAUGCCAAUUCCAAAUGUAAUUAGACAGAAUCAAUUUUUUUAAAGUGUGUUUUUAUGGUGAAAGUAGCCUUUUCAGCCUUGCGUCCUAUUGUAUUUUUUAGGAUAAAACAUUUUCAUAUGUGUAAACAGUUAUAAAUGAAGCAGAGAUAUCAUAAAAUAGAAGGUUUGAUGUGUGAAUCUUGUGAUGGUGGGAUAUAUCACUGCAUCAUGGGGACAGGACUUUUUCUUAGAGGGAAAAGCUGAGUGCUGUUUGUGACACAAAUGCUUCUCAGAGCAACCAAAACCUUUCUGUGUGGGAACAUAAGACAGUAAACUCAUUUAAAAACCUGUUUGUAGUGUUAGACGUAUUAGGAUUAGUAGCAUCUACUCAGACUAAAAUGAAUCUUGUUCGUAUCAGUUACACUCAUCUUUAUUGCAUUGCAAGUGCAAUUACAUAUACAAAUUAAUUGAUAGGGUAGGUCUCGAAUGAUAAUGUCUUUGUUUCACUUAUAUUGAGGAAAAAUAACAUAAAAUAUAUCUUGUCUUUAUUUGAAAUUCAGCAGUUCCUUCUGGAAGGUACCAAGUGCUUUAGUUACAGGAUCCCUUAUUUUCUGUUCUGUCUUGUUUUAAGGUGUAGAGGCUUAUUCUUUGUUUUAGAAAACUCCUCAUUCAUAAAGAUGGCAUGCAUCACUUAGGCAAAUAAAAGGUCAUCUCUGACCAAAAAUGGUUCCUGGGUGAGGCUUGCCCUGUGGGUGGUCUGGGGUCUGGCAGGCCAGGUUCUCAUGGUGCCCGAGGGCUGUGUGUGCUGAGUCCCCUGGAUCCUCGGUCCCCUCUCUUGGCCCUGCUCCAGCCUGGCCCUUUUCCUAAUGGUAGUUCUGGCUUUGCAGGCCCAGCCGCAGGCUCUGCUGCUUGAAGUUGCCCUUCCAGGGUUUGGAGCCAUCCGACAGGCCUGGACCCAGUGCCCCUGUAAACCUCAGGGGGCGUGCCAGGCCCACCUGCAAAACAACUUGUUCAGAGGACUUGGAGGCAAAGCUACCAAACCAUUGUGGUGAAGGUGCCAAAUAGAUGUGCCCCGAGGUGUGCAUAGCCUUGGACACCCCCUUUCCAGCCAGAGAAGAGAAAGGUUAGGCAGACAGGGGGGUCAAACAAGGAGGUAUGUGAUGACAGGUGUUUGUGGGAAAUACCUGUGAACUGAAACCAAGGCAGCUGCUUUGGAGGGAAUGGGCGGCUGGCCUCCCAGAAGUAGGGCCCUGCUGCUGGUCCUGUUCUGGAAUGAGCCCAAGGCCAGAGCAGGCACCCCAUAUCCACUUCCCUCUUCCCACCCUGGACCUCCUCUAUACCCUUCCCGGGAUUAUAAGUGGCUUAAAGGCAGUACAGGUUGUAAGGGCCUUAGCAUCCUUGCCUCUCAUAGUUGCUUGGCCAUCUGGCUAGAAGGUGGUCCUGCUGACACUAGGACUCAUCUAUAAGAGGGGGACAGCAUGGGGACAAAGGAUGUGCACCUAGUUUCAGACCCAGCUCUACCACUUUUACAGGAUAUACAAUGUCUAAAUUUGUCUCAGCCUUUGUUCCCUCAUCUAGGAAAUGGGACAGUUCCAAGGUAUGUAAAGUACCUUCCCCUCCUCCCUUUCCUGUUCCCUUCCUCUCCUUUCCAACUCCUUUCCCUUUUCCCUCCUCCCCCCUCCCUUGCCCCAUUUCCUCCCUCCUCUCUCUUCUUGUCUCACCUCUUUCCUGAUCCCCUUCCUCCUCCUAUCUCUCCCCCUCUUCUUCUCCCCCUCCUCCCUAUGCCCCUUCCCCUUGUUCAUUCUUUUCUCUCCUCUCCCCCCACUCCACAUAAGCGAUCCCUACUCAUGUAUCAAAUUGGUAAUUAUCAUCAAUUAGAGAUUCAUCUGGGCCAGUGGUUCUCAAAGUUUUCCAUCUUAGGAUCCCUCUACACUCUUAAAAAUUAUUGAGGACCCCAAAGAGCUUUUUGUUUAUAUGGAUUUAUAUCUAUCAAUAUUUAUCAUAUUAGAAAUUCAAACUGAGAAAAAUCAUAAAACACAAGAAUACAGAAGCACAUAUUCCAGUGAUGAUGCCUUCACCACACAUCAGUAGCCUCUGGAAAACUCCUGAGAAAGCAAAAUUCAUUUGGCUCACCAUGGAGGAAUCACUGGCACUGGCAGAUGAGGCACUCGGCAGUAGCAGUAGCCAGCUCAGCCUUUGUAAGGGGAAUUCUGUUGUUGCCACAUCCUCGGUCCCUGCUGCAUGGCCUCUUCAUUCACGGUCGCAUGGACCAAGCACUGUGGCAGCUGUGUAAAGAAGCUCGCUGACCUCCACAGAGUACAGGAGUUUGUCUACCUGAUUAUUAAGAGUCUUCUCUGCAGUGGCUGCCCUUUGGAUUGGAGGCGUUGACAUGGGAGACGAGUAUCUUCAUUCUGCCUCUUCAGAGGGUUCCAGCCACAUAUCUCUGUCCAAGAUUUCCUUGUCACCAAUCUUCAAGGCCCUGACCAUCCAGCCAAACCAUCAGCAACUGCCCAUGAAUCAAUGUAGAUCUGUACUCUGGCCAUCUCUCCCCCCAGGCAUAGUGUACAGUCAUAUAUCCUGUUUGAAUUUCUGCCCACUGGGAGGAUUUUCCUUCACCCUUGUCUUCACAGUCCCCCACUGAGUGGGGCUAUAAUGCUCCAGCUGUCCACUUUCAUGUAGUACCAGCAUAUCAUACAGACCCAUCUAUAAUCCACGCUUGAGUUUUCUCCCUCAGUCAGCUGGUCAUAAGCAAUCCCCUGAAGGCCAUAGGCAUGGAACAAGAGAAGAGGCAAACAACAGGAGCUGUGUUGCAGGGGUCUGAGCCACCUACUCACAAUUUACUUGUACCUCACGGACCUGCCUGAGUUCAGUCUCUCAUAUACCAUUUCCACUUGAUGAAAGAUUGCUGCUGUGCACACCCAACCUUAAAACAAGGCGUGUCAGACAACGUCCAUAUUAUGAGGAGAACUCAAGCUGCAUGGUCACCUCAUUCAGCCUCUAUGAAGACCUAGUAGCAAGCCAGAACCUGCUUCUCAAAAGGAUAGUCAUCUGCAGAAGAGGACGUAGAUUUGCUUCACAAUCCUAGAGGUCUGCACCAUAACUGUAUCGGUGCUUGCCAGAGGCUCCAUACAGCUUCUCUAUUUGAUACUUCAAGUAUCAUUGGACCUGCUGGAUCAUAAAACCCAAGUGAUAAAAUAAGAGUAGCUUGUACUGUAGCCUAAACAGCUGCAAGAGCCUUCUCUUGUUCUGCUUCCCAAUCCACCUGCCUGUAGAUGGGUUGAGGUUGCAUACUCAAAUGUGUAUGUUGCCUCCAAAGUGACCUACCGAGGGUUGUCCCUCCUUUUUGUCAGUGAUACAAGCUGCAGCAAUUCAUCUUCCACCCUGACGGGGAUAUUUCAAAAUGCUCCAGACCAAUGAACCCUCACAAAUUUCACUGCUGGUACAAUUCUAUGUCAGUCUGUGUCCAAUCAGGAGAAAGAAGCCAUAGAGUAACAUGAACAGAGAAAGAUUAGUAUAAGAAGUAUUAACUGUAAUAGGGAAUUGGGGUAAUGAGGGAUUGGCCAGUAAAAAGUGGAGAAUUCUAAGCAAUAUAGGGUUGGUAGCUAUAAGAAACAGCCAAAAGCUGGGUACUCCCUCAACCUCUAUUAC